rnacentral:rRNA from 1 species
AACGCGAAGAACCUUACCCACGUUUGACAUGUCCCGUAUGACCUGGAGAGAUUCGGGUCUUCAGUUCGGCUGGCGGGAACACAGGUGCUGCAUGGCUGUCGUCAGCUCGUGUCGUGAGAUGUUGGGUUAAGUCCCGCAACGAGCGCAACCCUCGCUACUAGUUGCUACCAGGUUAAGCUGAGCACUCUAGUGGAACUGCCGGUGGCAAGCCGGAGGAAGGUGGGGAUGACGUCAAGUCCUCAUGGCCCUUACGCGUGGGGCUACACACGUGCUACAAUGGUGGUGACAGAGGGAUAAUCCCUAAAAGCCAUCUCAGUUCGGAUUGUCCUCUGCAACUCGAGGGCAUGAUGUUGGAAUCGCUAGUAAUCGCGGAUCAGCAUGCCGCGGUGNNUGCGUUCCCGGGCCUUGUACACACCAA